rnacentral:rRNA from 1 species
GUCCACGCCGUAAACUAUGAGAGCUAGUCGUCGGGCAGCAUGCUGUUCGGUGACGCAGCUAACGCAAUAAGCUCUCCGCCUGGGGAGUACGGCCGCAAGGUUAAAACUCAAAGGAAUUGACGGGGGCCCCGCACAAGCGGUGGAGCAUGUGGUUUAAUUCGAAGCAACGCGCAGAACCUUACCAUCCCUUGACUUGGACGUCGCGGGCCGGGAGACCGGUCUUUCAGUUCGGCUGGACGUCACACAGGUGCUGCAUGGCUGUCGU